CCUACGGGUGGCAGCAGUGGGGAAUAUUGGACAAUGGGCGAAAGCCUGAUCCAGCCAUGCCGCGUGUGUGAAGAAGGCCUUCGGGUUGUAAAGCACUUUCAGUGGGGAAGAAAGCCUUGGGGCUAAUACCCUCGAGGAAGGACAUCACCCACAGAAGAAGCACCGGCUAACUCCGUGCCAGCAGCCGCGGUAAUACGGAGGGUGCGAGCGUUAAUCGGAAUUACUGGGCGUAAAGCGCGCGUAGGCGGUCUGAUAAGCCGGUUGUGAAAGCCCUGGGCUCAACCUGGGAACGGCAUCCGGAACUGUCAGGCUAGAGUGCAGGAGAGGAAGGUAGAAUUCCCGGUGUAGCGGUGAAAUGCGUAGAGAUCGGGAGGAAUACCAGUGGCGAAGGCGGUCUUCUGGACUGACACUGACGCUGAGGUGCGAAAGCGUGGGUAGCAAACAGGAUUAGAUACCCCGGUAGUC
rnacentral:rRNA from 1 species